UACGUAGGGUGCAAGCGUUGUCCGGAAUUACUGGGCGUAAAGCGUGCGUAGGCGGUUCGCUAAGUCGGUUGUGAAAUCCCUGGGCUUAACCUGGGAACUGCAGUCGAUACUGGCGGACUAGAGUACGGUAGAGGGUGGCGGAACUCCCGGUGUAGAGGUGAAAUUCGUAGAUAUCGGGAGGAACACCAGUGGCGAAGGCGGCGAUCUGGGAAGAUACUGACGCUGAGGUGCGAAAGCGUGGGGAGCAAACAGG
rnacentral:rRNA from 1 species